rnacentral:misc_RNA from 1 species
GAAAAACAUCUACUGUUAAAAUAAUAAUAAAAUUGGAAAAUUAACUUAAAACAUAUGCCUGAAUGCUGUUGUAUUUCUCUAGAAUAACAAGUCUAUAGGACUGCUUUUAUGGAUUAGGAAGUACCUGAUUACAUGGAAUCAUAAUUAGUAGGAAAUAAAGCUUUUUCCCUCCCAGUUACCCAAGCAUCCCCCUAUUAUCACCUCCAAAAAUAGAAAAGGGAAAACAUUCCUAUUGUGUCUCUUUUUUUGAUAUAAAAUUUUGGAAAGGGCAUGCUAGUCACCCCAGAAUAAUCCAAAUGUUUAAGUCUUU